rnacentral:rRNA from 1 species
UACAGAGGGGGCAAGCGUUGUUCGGAAUUACUGGGCGUAAAGGGCGCGUAGGCGGCCUUCUAAGUCGAACGUGAAAUCCCUGGGCUCAACCCAGGAACUGCGUCCGAUACUGGAAGGCUUGAAUUCGGGAGAGGGAUGCAGAAUUCCAGGUGUAGCGGUGAAAUGCGUAGAUAUCUGGAGGAAUACCGGUGGCGAAGGCGGCAUCCUGGACCGAGAUUGACACUGAUGAGCGAAAGCCAGGGGAGCAAACGGG